AAGUCGUAACAAGGUUUCCGUAGGUGAACCUGCGGAAGGAUCAUUAUCGAAUUCUGAGGGGAGGGAAGAUGGGAAGUGAGGAUUGUCGCUGGCUCGAGCUAUCGAGCAUGUGCACGUCUUUGCAUUUCGUCUACCUUUCUCUCUCAUACACACACCUGUGCACCUGUCGUAGGUCCUCAAAAGAGGAUCUAUGUUUUUUCACAUCACACUCGUCGUAUGUCUAUAGAAUGUAUUGAGAACGUCGACCUGCUUGACAGGGCGGCGGUCCAUAAAAUCAUACAACUUUCAGCAACGGAUCUCUUGGCUCUC
rnacentral:misc_RNA from 1 species